GGCGCCAGGGCAGAGAGAGAGAGAGAGAGAGAGAGGGAAUGGCGGAGACGAUGAACUCUCCCAUGGAAAUCGACGAGGGUUUUCUGCCAUCGAAGAGCCCAACAAACAAGGGCAAAAGCGUAAUUUCAGAAGUAAGCAGCAAGUCCACGCCGUGGGUCGAGAAAUACCGUCCACAGUCCCUCGCAGAUGUAGCUGCCCAUCGCGACAUCGUCGAUACCAUCGACAGGCUCACGAACGAGAACAAGCUGCCCCAUCUCCUCCUCUACGGCCCACCCGGCACCGGCAAGACUUCCACCAUCCUCGCCGUCGCCCGGAAGCUCUAUGGGUCCCACUACCAGAACAUGAUCCUCGAGCUCAAUGCAUCUGACGACAGGGGCAUUGACGUCGUCCGCCAGCAGAUCCAAGACUUCGCCAGCACCCAGAGCUUCUCCUUUGGUGCCAAGUCCUCCGUGAAGUUGGUCCUAUUGGAUGAAGCAGACGCCAUGACGAAGGAUGCACAGUUUGCCUUGCGUAGAGUAAUUGAGAAAUACACAAAGAGCACCAGGUUUUCUCUCAUUUGUAAUCAUGUCAACAAAAUCAUUCCAGCUUUACAAUCAAGAUGUACUCGUUUUAGAUUUGCUCCUCUCGAUGCUACUCACGUCACAGAACGCCUUCAAUAUGUAAUAAAGGCUGAAGGGCUUGAUGUAACUGAGAGUGGCUUAGCAGCACUUGUACGGCUGAGCAAUGGUGACAUGAGAAAGGCUUUGAAUAUUUUGCAGUCAACGCAAAUGGCUUCUCCGCAUGUAACUGAAGACGCCGUUUACUUGUGCACUGGAAACCCAAUGCCUAAAGACAUUGAGCAGAUAUCCUCCUGGCUUCUAAAUGAAUCAUUUGCGACUAGUUUCGGAUGCAUAUCUAAUAUGAAGAUGAGGAAAGGAUUGGCAUUGGUGGACAUUGUGAGAGAGGUUACCAUGUUUGUGUUUAAGAUUAAAAUGCCAGCAGAUGUUCGAGUUAAAUUAAUCAAUGAUUUGGCAGACAUCGAGUACAGGUUGAGUUCUGGAUGCAAUGACAAGCUGCAGCUUGGGGCACUCGUCACUUGUUUCACAUAUGCUCGAGCUUCUCUGGUGGCUGCUGCUAAGUAAUGUCCAUUCGCCCACUGCUAUAUAUGUAUUUUCUUUUGUUUGGGUUUAUUUCAGCGUAAAGACGUCUAUGUGGCUGCGGUGCCUGAUGACAUGCAAGUGUUUUUUUUUUUUUUCGGAAAUGAAAUUGAGGUAUUUUUGGUGCAUUGGCGUCCACUUUGCGGCAUCCUGAAAUCAAAAGCUUGGAUUACUGAACCAUGGGCCCAUUCUGCCAAAUUUCACCCGCUAGUUUGGGAGCCUGUAAAUGGAGGUAAAUAGGAAAUGGAAUUGGAGGUAAAAUGAAUUGGGAUUGUGUUUGGAUGAGAUUAAAUGAAAUGCAUUUGAAAUCCAAAUUUCCUGCUUGGAUGGGAGGAAUUGGAAUGCUUUCGAAUUUUUUAAUACAUUCACAGGAACAUAUGUGAUAUCCCAAAUCAA